rnacentral:rRNA from 1 species
GUCUAUAAUGCAGUCGACGCUUCUUUUUCCACCGGAGCUUGCUCCACCGGAAAAAGAAGAGUGGCGAACGGGUGAGUAACACGUGGGUAACCUGCCCAUCAGAAGGGGAUAACACUUGGAAACAGGUGCUAAUACCGUAUAACAAUCAAAACCGCAUGGUUUUGAUUUGAAAGGCGCUUUCGGGUGUCGCUGAUGGAUGGACCCGCGGUGCAUUAGCUAGUUGGUGAGGUAACGGCUCACCAAGGCCACGAUGCAUAGCCGACCUGAGAGGGUGAUCGGCCACAUUGGGACUGAGACACGGCCCAAACUCCUACGGGAGGCAGCAGUAGGGAAUCUUCGGCAAUGGACGAAAGUCUGACCGAGCAACGCCGCGUGAGUGAAGAAGGUUUUCGGAUCGUAAAACUCUGUUGUUAGAGAAGAACAAGGAUGAGAGUAACUGUUCAUCCCUUGACGGUAUCUAACCAGAAAGCCACGGCUAACUACGUGCCAGCAGCCGCGGUAAUACGUAGGUGGCAAGCGUUGUCCGGAUUUAUUGGGCGUAAAGCGAGCGCAGGCGGUUUCUUAAGUCUGAUGUGAAAGCCCCCGGCUCAACCGGGGAGGGUCAUUGGAAACUGGGAGACUUGAGUGCAGAAGAGGAGAGUGGAAUUCCAUGUGUAGCGGUGAAAUGCGUAGAUAUAUGGAGGAACACCAGUGGCGAAGGCGGCUCUCUGGUCUGUAACUGACGCUGAGGCUCGAAAGCGUGGGGAGCAAACAGGAUUAGAUACCCUGGUAGUCCACGCCGUAAACGAUGAGUGCUAAGUGUUGGAGGGUUUCCGCCCUUCAGUGCUGCAGCUAACGCAUUAAGCACUCCGCCUGGGGGAGUACGACCGCAAGGUUGAAACUCAAAGGAAUUGACGGGGGCCCGCACAAGCGAUGGAGCAUGUGGUUUAUUUCUAAGCAACGCGAGAACCUUACCAGGUCUUGACAUCCUUUGACCACUUCUAGAAAAUAAGCUUCCCCAUCCGGGCCAAGU